GAGUUUGAGAGAGGGAGAGUCAGAGUUUGAGAGAGGGAGAGUGAGAGAUCGGGAGAGGGAGCCAGAGAUGGAGUCGACCCGGAACCCAGGGAACCCGAUCCUCCGUGGGUGGUGGCCAUGACCGAAAUCCAGCGAGGCAGGGAGCGGUUUCUGGCGAGCCCGUGACUCGUGUGUGCGCAUAACCGGAAGACCCAUCAAACUAGUGCAGCCCGUGACCCGAGAGAGAGAAAACCCGGAAAGGUUUCGGUGAGCCGUGAGCCAGGGAGGUCCGAUCCUCCAUGUCCGGUGGUCAGAGGGAAAUCCGGCGGACCAAUGGCGGUUUCCGACGAAACCAUAAACCCGAACCCACCCAGCCAUGACCCAGUGACCGAGAACCUGUGAAGCCGACCUUCAGUGGCGAUGUCCGGCGCGUUUUCCGGCGGGAUAGGUGUUUCUCCGGCCGAACCUUCAAAGACCCACGACCCGUACGAUCUGCAACCCGCCAGACCCGAGAGCCCAGAUGCCGAUCCUUCUCCUUCCUUCAUCCUUUCUCUUCUAUAUUGUUUCUUCUCUUCUUUGUCUAAGUCGCAGAGAGAGAGGAACCGUGAGAUGAGAGAGACCGAGAGAAAGAGAGUGAAUCAGAGGAGAGACUCGGAGGGAGAGAGAGAGAGAGAGCUGAACAGAGAGAGGACUUGACCUCCGGAAGGCCCAAUUUUCUGGCCAAUCGCGGUGGGUCGGAGCAGAGGACGCCGGCAGAGCUGGAGGACGCGAACUCCGGCGAUUUUCGUGGGAGAUUUUCGGUGGCUUUUCUCUGGUUUUAAUCAUGAAAUCCCAAGGUAAAAGCUCGAUCCCGAUGCUAAUGGAAAGUCCAGAUGACAACCGUAAGACGAAGACUUUUUCUUGUAAGGGCGUAGACCUCGCUGAGAGCGAUAGUUCGUGAUGAACCAGCCAAACCCUAAUAUUGUAUAGUAUGAUUUGUUCCUUUUGGAGUUCAUGAUUUUGUAUAGAUUUAUAAAUAGAAAGGUUUAAGAGAGUAGAAAUUUUAAAUUUUUAGUUGUAAAUGCACGCUUUCAUUUAUAAUGUUUGUUUUUAGCA